rnacentral:rRNA from 1 species
ACGGGAGGCAGCAGUGGGGAAUAUUGGACAAUGGGGGCAACCCUGAUCCAGCGACGCCGCGUGAGUGAAGAAGUAAUUCGUUAUGUAAAGCUCUAUCAGCAGGGACGAUAAUGACGGUACCUGACUAAGAAGCUCCGGCUAAAUACGUGCCAGCAGCCGCGGUAAUACGUAUGGAGCAAGCGUUAUCCGGAUUUACCGGGUGUAAAGGGCGUGUGGGCGGCUCUGCAAGUCAGAAGUGAAAUUCCCGGGCUCAACCUGGGCGCUGCUUCUGAAACUGCAGAACUUGAGUACUGGAGGGGAAAGCGGAAUUCCUAGUGUAGCGGUAAAAUGCGCAGAUAUUAGGAGGAACACCGGUGGCGAAGGCGGCUUUCUGGACAGUAACUGACGCUGAGGCGCGAAAGCGUGGGGAGCAAACAGGAUUAGAUACCCUGGUA